rnacentral:rRNA from 1 species
UACGAAGGGGGCUAGCGUUGUUCGGAGUUACUGGGCGUAAAGGGCGCGUAGGCGGCUCUUCAAGUCGGGCGUGAAAGCCCUGGGCUCAACCCGGGAAUGGCGCCCGAGACGGAGGGGCUUGAGUGCGGGAGAGGAUGGUGGAAUUCCCAGUGUAGAGGUGAAAUUCGUAGAUAUUGGGAAGAACACCGGUGGCGAAGGCGGCCAUCUGGUCCGCAACUGACGCUGAGGCGCGAAAGCGUGGGAGCAGCNGNUGACNCNNNGUACCCUUGGGAAGACCCUGGACCAAGGCGACCAAGCGGG